GGGUUGUGAGGUUAAGCGACUAAGCGUACACGGUGGAUGCCCUGGCAGUCAGAGGCGAUGAAGGACGUGCUAAUCUGCGAUAAGCGUCGGUAAGGUGAUAUGAACCGUUAUAACCGGCGAUUUCCGAAUGGGGAAACCCAGUGUGUUUCGACACACUAUCAUUAACUGAAUCCAUAGGUUAAUGAGGCGAACCGGGGGAACUGAAACAUCUAAGUACCCCGAGGAAAAGAAAUCAACCGAGAUUCCCCCAGUAGCGGCGAGCGAACGGGGAGCAGCCCAGAGCCUGAAUCAGUGUGUGUGUUAGUGGAAGCGUCUGGAAAGGCGCGCGAUACAGGGUGACAGCCCCGUACACAAAAAUGCACAUGCUGUGAGCUCGAUGAGUAGGGCGGGACACGUGGUAUCCUGUCUGAAUAUGGGGGGACCAUCCUCCAAGGCUAAAUACUCCUGACUGACCGAUAGUGAACCAGUACCGUGAGGGAAAGGCGAAAAGAACCCCGGCGAGGGGAGUGAAAAAGAACCUGAAACCGUGUACGUACAAGCAGUGGGAGCACGCUUAGGCGUGUGACUGCGUACCUUUUGUAUAAUGGGUCAGCGACUUAUAUUCUGUAGCAAGGUUAACCGAAUAGGGGAGCCGAAGGGAAACCGAGUCUUAACUGGGCGUUAAGUUGCAGGGUAUAGACCCGAAACCCGGUGAUCUAGCCAUGGGCAGGUUGAAGGUUGGGUAACACUAACUGGAGGACCGAACCGACUAAUGUUGAAAAAUUAGCGGAUGACUUGUGGCUGGGGGUGAAAGGCCAAUCAAACCGGGAGAUAGCUGGUUCUCCCCGAAAGCUAUUUAGGUAGCGCCUCGUGAAUUCAUCUCCGGGGGUAGAGCACUGUUUCGGCAAGGGGGUCAUCCCGACUUACCAACCCGAUGCAAACUGCGAAUACCGGAGAAUGUUAUCACGGGAGACACACGGCGGGUGCUAACGUCCGUCGUGAAGAGGGAAACAACCCAGACCGCCAGCUAAGGUCCCAAAGUCAUGGUUAAGUGGGAAACGAUGUGGGAAGGCCCAGACAGCCAGGAUGUUGGCUUAGAAGCAGCCAUCAUUUAAAGAAAGCGUAAUAGCUCACUGGUCGAGUCGGCCUGCGCGGAAGAUGUAACGGGGCUAAACCAUGCACCGAAGCUGCGGCAGCGACGCUUAUGCGUUGUUGGGUAGGGGAGCGUUCUGUAAGCCUGCGAAGGUGUGCUGUGAGGCAUGCUGGAGGUAUCAGAAGUGCGAAUGCUGACAUAAGUAACGAUAAAGCGGGUGAAAAGCCCGCUCGCCGGAAGACCAAGGGUUCCUGUCCAACGUUAAUCGGGGCAGGGUGAGUCGACCCCUAAGGCGAGGCCGAAAGGCGUAGUCGAUGGGAAACAGGUUAAUAUUCCUGUACUUGGUGUUACUGCGAAGGGGGGACGGAGAAGGCUAUGUUGGCCGGGCGACGGUUGUCCCGGUUUAAGCGUGUAGGCUGGUUUUCCAGGCAAAUCCGGAAAAUCAAGGCUGAGGCGUGAUGACGAGGCACUACGGUGCUGAAGCAACAAAUGCCCUGCUUCCAGGAAAAGCCUCUAAGCAUCAGGUAACAUCAAAUCGUACCCCAAACCGACACAGGUGGUCAGGUAGAGAAUACCAAGGCGCUUGAGAGAACUCGGGUGAAGGAACUAGGCAAAAUGGUGCCGUAACUUCGGGAGAAGGCACGCUGAUAUGUAGGUGAAGCGACUUGCUCGUGGAGCUGAAAUCAGUCGAAGAUACCAGCUGGCUGCAACUGUUUAUUAAAAACACAGCAC
rnacentral:rRNA from 1 species